CCUGACCAGGGCAAAGCUGUGAGAGAAAAUAUCCUGCAGCGUUUCCAGGGGUGCUAAAUGGAGACCAAACACCUCACCUCUCAUGUACAUCACCGUCCACACGCACGCACACACACACACGCGCACACACAUACACGCACGCGCACACACACACACGCACGCUCACACACACACACUCUUUAGCCUGCUGCUAUUUAGACUACUGCUCCCUGUGUUCUGGACAAAUGCUACGAGGGCAUGUGUGACUCUGUGGGUUUGGUCUCUGAGCCUGAUAAUGUAGAGCUGCCAGUUCUACUCUCAGAGUCGGCAGAGUGAUGUCACCCCUGAGCCCUUCACCUCAGUCUCUCCAGGCUGACCCUGCUUCUUAAAUUAUGCAUCGCUUUCGAUAAAAAAUAAUGCAAUAUCAUUUCAUUGUUUUUUCCCCAGCUAACAACUUUUCAUUAUAGGAAUGUCUACUGAAUAUUUCGCACAUUCAGAGUGUUGAGUUUCCCUGAUGUUCCCAGAAUGUUAUUCCGCUACCACUCAUACUAAGAGUAAUGAUAAUAUUGAGCUGCAUGGUAGCGUAGCUGCAUGGUAGCGUAGCUGCAUGGUAGCGUAACAGUAGCACUGUGGCUCGACACCUCUGAGGUCACGGGUCCAAGGCUGUAUGGUAUGUUGGCAGUAUGCACAUAUAGUGCUAUUAUAAAAUUGUAUUUUUAUCAUCAAACAAUAUUUUUCAACAUUAAUUAUGUUUAAAGAUUAUUCAGGCAAUAAUGUUGUCAUGCUAACACCAACGAGACCUUUGUUAAAAUGUAAAAUGUGGGAAUAGCACUCCAUUACAGUAAGAAUGUUCUCUGUCAACUUUGAGAAGAUCUUUAUGUAACGUUCACUGAUAGCUGGGUUUCUAUUGAAAUGUUCUUUUAAAUUUAGACCACUAAAAUGCUUGUAAUUUCACAA